AACGAACGCUGGCGGCAUGCCUAACACAUGCAAGUCGAACGAGAUCUUCGGGUCUAGUGGCGCACGGGUGCGUAACGCGUGGGAAUCUGCCCUUUGGUUCGGAAUAACAGUUGGAAACGACUGCUAAUGCCGGAUGAUGACGAAAGUCCAAAGAUUUAUCGCCCAGGGAUGAGCCCGCGUAGGAUUAGCUAGUUGGUGAGGUAAAGGCUCACCAAGGCGACGAUCCUUAGCUGGUCUGAGAGGAUGAUCAGCCACACUGGGACUGAGACACGGCCCAGACUCCUACGGGAGGCAGCAGUAGGGAAUAUUGGACAAUGGGGGCAACCCUGAUCCAGCAAUGCCGCGUGAGUGAUGAAGGCCUUAGGGUUGUAAAGCUCUUUUACCCGGGAUGAUAAUGACAGUACCGGGAGAAUAAGCCCCGGCUAACUCCGUGCCAGCCGCCGCCGUAA
rnacentral:rRNA from 1 species